rnacentral:lncRNA from 1 species
UUGGAAGAACAGCGAGGACCACGUGAAAGAGCGGCCAGCACUCUUUAGAAGUCAGUGGGUCUGGUCCUUACCUGAUGGAGUGUUGUGAUGCAUCAAGGGGGACUUCUCACAAGUCUCUCUGUCUCUCUCCCCCAUAGAAUUGAAGCCAUCACGAGCUCAGGACAGAUGGGUUCCUUCAUACGUCUGAAGCAGUUCUUGGAGGAUAUGUCUCACCUUACUUAACUGCACACCUCCAUUCACAGAACAACGGAAUUGUUGCUGCAGUCUUCACAGUGUGUCUGGUGGCAGAUUCUGGGUAGAGUCUCACCUUGUAUGUCCUAGAACUCGUCUCCCUCACCUGCAGGCUGCCCGGCAGGACCCACAGAGAAUGAUGUCCUCAUAGCCUCCUGCCACUUGCUCUUCCUGUCUACCUAAGCCUUGCUGAUGACAUCUGUUUCCCACAGUCCAUGGCAGGGAACAGGGUGGGAUAUACUGACUUUAGGAUAAAAAAGUGGAUGGGCCAAACCUUCUUCAGUCAGCAAGUGGAGGCUGUGCAGGCUUCAGAAAGGCAUUCCUCUGGACACUACUACUCUCUGCUAGAAGAUUGGCCUGUUCAUAACUGGAAACCUAAAUGAACGGGCCCACUCAAGUUGUGCAGCUCAGUCCGCAGAGCCACUAACCAGGACCCCAUGGAGCUGUGACUCCACCCUAUCAGCAUUGUUGCUGAGUAUAUAUGUGACGUUCUAAAUGUGGACAAGUUCCUCUGUCAGAAAUAAAUGAGAAGCUGGG